rnacentral:lncRNA from 1 species
ACCGUGUCGUGCCGUGCUGUGCCCAAAUCGUGUCCGUGCCGUGCCCGUGCCGUGCAGUGCCAUGCUGGCAAGGCACACUUGACACCUCUACACAUUACCAAAUCAUACUCAAAUUCCUGUCAGCUUUAAUAGAGAUAUAAGACUCAAUUCUAUGUUAAUUCUCAAGAAUGUCCUGUUUAUUCCUCAGUUCAAGUUUAAUCUACUUUCUGUUAGUGCUCUUACAAAUGGUCAGCUAUAAUAAUUUCUUCCAUGAUUGCUUUCAUUUUUAUCAGGACAUCAAUAGCCGAGGAUGAUUGGCAAGGGUUUAAAAUUUGAAGACCUUUAUGUUCUUGAUACUACUACACUGAAUUCUGUUUCCACAUCAUGUGUAAACAAUGUUUCAACUCAUGUUUGCAUAAUAAACAUCUUGAAACAGCAACUCCACUUCAAGAAUCAAUAAAAUUGAUCCUUGUCAUAUAUGUCCUUUAGCAAAACAAAGAAGACUAUCUUUUGCUUCUCAUAACCAUAUGUCUCCAUUUCCUUUUGAUUUGGUUCAUUGUGACAUUUGGGGAACCUUAUCAUACUCCUUCACAUUCUAGACAUAGAUUUUUCUUGACUUUGGUGGAUGAUUGCACUCGUUGUACACGGAUUUUUUUACUUAAACAGAAGUCUGAUGUUGCUGUCAUUAUUCCCAAAAUUUUCAAUCUGAUAUCUACUCAAUUUAGUGCCAAAAUAAAGGUAUUCAGAUCUGAUAAUUCCAGAGAAUUGGUUUUUGCUGAAUUCUUCAAUGACAAAGGGGUAUUACAUCAAUUCUCUUGUGUAGACAUACCACAUAAAAACUCAGUUGUAGAAAAAAAAUACUAACAUCUGCUCAAUGUUGUUCUGGCCUUGUACUUUCAGUCAAGGGUUCCUAUUAAAUUUUGGAGUGAAUGUGUUCUCACUGCCACUUUUAUCAUUAACAGAACUCCAUCUCCAUUGCUCCACAAUAAAUCUCCUUAUGAGUAAUUUAUAGAACUGAUGUAGAUUACUCAAUAUUCAGAGUUUUUGGUUGCUUAGCCUUUGCAUCCACUCUAAAUGGUCAUAGAACAAAGUUUCAACAAAGAUCUCACGUGUGUGUUCUACUUGGUUAUCCUCCUGGCAUAAAAGGAUACAAGCUAUAUGAUGUUCAGAAUAACUAGAUUUUUAUCUCAAAAGAUGUAAUUUUUCAUGAAGAAAUUUUUCCCUUCCACACUGACUAAAUCAGACAAGUUGGUUGAUCCCUGACCUUGUCUUACCUAUACCAUCUAUGGAACCUGUUGUUUAUCAACACUAAACACCCAUUACAAUUAAAAUUAAUGGUAGGAACUAAAGACUCAAUAUCAAAAUUACUUAUCUUAUAAUUCUCUAUCUGCAUCUCACAAGAACUUUGUUAUGAAUGUCCUUCUCAAUAUGAGCCUCAGUAUUAUCACCAAGCUGUUAAAUUUUCACAAUGGAGGGAUGCCAUGAAAGCUGAAUUAGAUGCUAUAGAAUUCAAUAACACUUGGGCAGUCAUUCCGUUACCGAAAGGGAAACAUUCUAUUGGCUGCAAAUGGUUUUUAAGACUAAAUACAAGUAUGAUGGAUCCAUAGAGAGACACAAAGCUCGUUUGGUUGCUAAAUGUUACACUCAACAAGAAGGGCUUGACUUCAUUGAAACCUUUUCUCCUGUGGCUAAGUUUGUAACUGUCAAAGUCCUAUUAGCUUUUGCCACCAAUCAAAAUUGGCAUUUGAUUCAACUUGAUGUGACAAUGCCUUUCUAAAUGGUGACUUAUUUAAAGAAGUAUACAUGGAUCUUCCUCUUGGCUAUCAUAGUAAGGGGGAGAGGUGCAUACAUGGAGCUAAUUUAGUUUUCAAGCUUCACAAGUCCAUAUAUGAUCUCAAGCAAGCAUCAAGACAGUGGUACUCCAAGUUUUCUCAGAACCUUCUUCAGUUUGGUUUUACUCAAUCUAAAUCUAUUUACUCUCUAUUUACCCUCUAUUUACCAAAGGUUCAUGAUCAUCUUUUAUUGCAUUAUUGGUAUAUGUUGAUGACAGUAUCAUUACUAGUCCAUGUUCUCAAGUUAUUAACUCUCUGAAAUCCUUCAUUCAUAGUCAGUUUAAACUGAAAGAUUUGGGAUGUUUGAAAUAUUUUCAUGGUCUUGAAAUUGCUAAAUCUGUCAAACGGAUUAUUUUAUCUCAAAGACAUUAUACUUUAUAGUUUCUUGAAGAUACAAGAUUCCUUGCUUGCAAGCCUGCUAGUGGUCCAAUGGACCCUAAAAUUCAACAUAAUGCUACUGAUGGUGAUUUGCUCACUGAAUAUGUCUCAUUACGGAUGACUUAUUGGUCGUCUUCUUUACUUCAAAUUUUCCAGGCCUAAUAUCACAUUUGUUGUCCACAAGCUCAGUCAAUAUUUGGCUCAACCUCGUUCCCCAUCUGCAAGCUGCUCAUCAUCUUCUCAUAUAUCUAAAAUCCAAUCCUGGUCAGGGAUUAUUCUUCUCUUCGUCUUCACCUCAAGGCCUUCUCUGAUGCAGAUUGGGGUUCUUGUUUGGAUACUAGAAAGUCCGUUACUGGGUUUAUAUAUUCAUUGGUGAUUCCUUAGUCUCAUGGAAAGCUAGGAAACAAACUACAAUUUCCAGAUCUUCUACAGAAGUAGAAUAUAGAGUAUUAGCUUCUACUGCUAGUGAAUUGGUUUGGAUACAUCAGUUGCUAAAAUAUUUUCAGAUUGAUGUUUCAUCUCCAGCUCUUCUUUUUUGUGAUAACCAGGCUGCUAUUCAUAUUACUUCAAAUCUAACCUUUUAUGAAAGGACUAAAUAUAUAGAGAUCAAUUGCCACUUCAUUUGUGAUAAAAUUACCAAAGGAUUUAUCAUACUUAUGCUUAUUCAAUCUCAACAUCAACUAGCUGAUUUUUUACCAAAGCUUUACCAACUUCUUCCCUGUUUCCACUCUUAUCCAAGAUGGAUGUGAAAGACAUUCACUGUCCAUCUUGAGGGGGAGUAUUAAAUCUCAUAUAAAUAAUUAGUUAUCCAUUUAAGUAGUUAGAGUAACCUUAUCUUGAUUUUGUAAAUAAUACUAGUAUAAAUACACAAUGUAACAGAAGUUCAAUAGAUAUACAAGAAAUUCUCUUUUCUUCUCAUUUCGAAUUUGUUAAGGGAAGCCAAAGCCUUUCAUGGGGCAUGUCCAAAGUGUGGACAGAGCGACAUUGUUGCAUCCCCAACAAUAACUAGUCUAUUGAAGCUUCCAUGAUGAUUCUUUGCUGGUGUGGGAAAUUUCACAUGGUCAAUCUGCAAUGUAAACAUCUUAAUUUUCUUGGAAAAUUAAGAUGAGUGGAAUAGGGUAGGGGGUGUAUCACUAACGCACCGAUAAGAUUCAUAAUAGAGUGUAGAUUUCCAAGUCCAUAGGUAAAAUUUUCCUCCACUCACUCCAUUGUAACGACUGAACCGCUUUGCAGUGUGCUAAGUUUAUAUAGGAAAUUUUCACGAGGGUCAGGUUUAUUACAUUCACAGUCAUUUUAGUGUAGCUACUCUUCUUCUAAGCACUCUGAAACAAGACAUGAUAAAAGGGCACAAGACCUUGACCUUAUCAAAUCUGUAUAAUUGAUCAUAACUUUCCCCCCCUAAUGAGUGUUAGUGGAAAAAAGGGACCCAAGAUGUCUUCAAAGUCUUCCUUAAGUGUAAAAUCAUAGCCAGAAUAACGCAAGAAGGACCUUUAGGAAAAAGUUACCCUGCUGUUUCCAUAGUCCGUUUGUUUUGUCGUCUGUAAGCAGGUUCUUCGAAAGCUUUUCAUUCUCUCGUUCCCUAAUCUUGCAAUAUGGAUUCUGUAUCAAUCAACUCUCUGGUCCAUCCCACUCAAAUUGGUUCACCUCUCCAAGCUCGUUUACCUUGAUUUGUCCCCUCCACCCAAUCAAUUUUCGGGGAACAUUCCCAAGAAAUUGGCCUAGUUAACAAAUUUCGAAACCUUCCAGCUGUUCGAAAACCAGUUGAAUGGAUCAAUCCUCAAGAGAUAAGCAGUUUUAACGUUGUUUCAGGGCUUUGCCUUUUGUACACCAAUCGUUCAGUGGUCCCAUGCCUGCUUCUUGGUAAUUUUGAGCAACUUGAUUGGACUUUCUAUUCUUACGAAAAUCAACUUUCAGGCUCCAUCCCACCAGACAGAAAUAGGAAAUCCGUUAAUCUCGUGUUGCUUUUCAUGGAUCAUAACAAUCUAAACAGGUCAUUCCUUCAACUUUCGUGAAACAUGAAUUAGACUAAAUGUGUUAGCCCUGUUAUGUGAACCAACUUUCUGGUUCCAUUCCUCAAGAAUUCGGAAAAACUUGAAGUCCCCUCACCAAUUUAGAAUUGACCCAGAAUCAACUCUCAUGGAAUAUUCCUGCCUCAUAGGGAACCUGUCCAAAUUAGAAAACGCUCUUUCUUGCAUAUCAACAACGUUCGGGCUCAAUUUCAAACAGAAUUCGGCAAUUUGAAAAAAACUUGCUUUUAUUGGUAAUGGAUACAAAUCAGUUAUCUGGCCAUCUACCGGAAUUUGGCCAAGGUGGGAAACUUCAAAAAAUCAUGUUUGCAAAAACAAUCAGCUCAAGGGACCAAUCCCCAAAAGCUGGAAGAGACUGUCAAGCUUAGUCAGGAGUCCCCGCCGGAAGGAAAAACCAAUUCACUGGAAGCAUAUUCUGAAGCCUUUGGUUGUCUAUCCAAAUCUAAAACUACUUGGAUCUAAGUCGCAAAACUUUCUAUGGUGGAAACUCAAAAAAAACUGGAGUAGUAGCUGCCCCCCGGAUGCCCAAACUUGAUGAUGGCAGGGAACAACAUCACGGUAGUAUACCACCAGAGUUGGGAGAUUCGCCUCACUUGCAAAGGCUAAUCUUUCUUCCAAUCAUUUGAUUGGGGAGAUCCCAAAGGAAUUGGGAAGAGUUGAAUCUUGCAGAACUCUAUCUGACAGACACCACCAACAUUCUGGCAGUAUACAACAGCACUGGAUUGAUGACUAAACUGUUGAAGCUGACCUGUAAAAAACCAGAUAGGGGGCCCAAAUUGCAGCUGGAAAUUGGAGAAUGCAGGCAACUGAUUAACUUGAAGUUUGAGCAGCAAUACAUUUUAGCCUGACAUCCCAGAGCAGUGAGUAAUUACCUCAAACUUCGACCCUGGAUCGAGGUCACAAUUCACUCUCAGGUGAGAUACCAUGACAGAUCGGAAGUUUCCAGAGUUGGAGUGGUUGAGCCUCUCCCCCUUAAUAAUAUUUUGGUCCAUUCCAAGGGCAUUUGAAGACCAGCAUUGGUUUGCAGCACGUUUUGAUAGAUCCUACAAUGAGUUAGAGGGGCCAUUCCCACCAGCAAAGCCUUUUAUGAUGCUUUCAUAAGAGGGCACUGCAAGGAAACAAAGAUUUGUGUGGAAAAUGUACAGGAUUUCAGCCUGCAAAAAUAUUGUCUAGAGAAACAAAAAGACUCACGGCAUAACCGGACUCUUAUCUUGUAAUCAGCUCCCUCUUGGCGGAGCACUUUACUUCUAGGUGCGUCUGCGGAUUAUGAUGGAUGGAUUAGAAAGAAAGAAAAAGCAAGAAAAAGGGUGCCACGAUUGGGAUCUUUCUCCAUUCAAUAUACGAUGCAACAGCAAUGUAUAUGACAUCCUCAAGGCUAACCAAUAACUUUGAUCCUAUAUAUUGCAUAGGAAAGAGAGGAUUAUCGAAAUUAGAGUCAAGCUUUUCCGGGUUCUGUUCGUGUGCCCAACACUCUAUUUUGGUUUAUGAGUACCUCGAAAGGGGUAGCUUGGCUACAAUUUGCGCAGAGAUGAGAAGCUCAACAAUUUAGAUUGUCCAAAGAGAGUUAAUAUUGUCAAGGGUGUGGCGCAUCGCUUUAGCAAUAUGCACCAUGAUUGCGCACCCCCAAUUGUUCACGAGAAUAUCAAGCAGCAAUGUUUGAUUGAAAAGAGUUUGAGGCUCGUGAUCAGACUUUUGGCCACAGCUUAGCGUCUGAAGCCUGAUUCCUCUAAUUGGAGUGCACUUAAAGGCAUGUACGGAUAUGUUGCACCAGGUAACCGUAGUUUUAUAUGCUCCUAAAUUGACAUAGAAUCUAUUAAUUCACAGAUAGAUGAACAUUUCUUUGUCUCUGUCUCUCUCUCGUUUUCAGAGUUUGCUUAUACAAUGAAGGUGACUGAAAAGUGUGAUGUAUAUAACUUUGGAGUGUUAGCACUGGAAGUGAUCAAAGGAAGCCAUCCAGGAGAUUUUGUUUCCUCCUGGCAACCCAGCAGUGGGAAAAAUACAGCUGAAAGAGUAAUGGAUCAACGUCUUUUACCUCCCUCUACUCCAAGGAGGAGUAUAAUGUGCAUCAUGGCUUAUAUAGUUCAGGGAAAGGGAGGCUCACCCUACUGUAGGGUAACCCCAAGGAAACUUAGAACAAAAAUAGAGGCCUGCAAAACCAUGCAAAUCGUUUCUCAACUGUUAUCGGCCAGAACAAUUUUCUAAGUGCCUCAAAGAUGAUGUACCGAAAAUGUAAAGCUAUUUUUUCAUUAAUGAUGUAUUAGUAUCAAAUAGAUUAUACCAUCUGGCAAUUGUGUAUGUAUAUUUAUUGUCCACUUUAGGGUACUUAAUCAUACAGAUCAUAUAUAUAACAGGUUGUUGGCUUGUACUUUUAAUACUGUCUGAGAAAAAGAUAUAGCCAUUAUGCAAUUUUCGAUAUAUAGCGAUUAAAUUACACCAGAGGUCUUUGUAAAAUAAUCAGUUAUUUGGUCUGCUUAGUCUCGAUUGCACUAGAGAGGUGACUCUAUUCCCACCCUUUUUUGAUUCUUAGUACCCAAACCUUUCUCAGGACACCAUUUAAAAUAAACAAGGCUUUCCUUCUUAUUCCCAAACCGCCCUAUUUUCAACCUCCAAACCCUGGCAUAGUGAUUGAGGUUCUCACUUACUAGGUUCGAUAACUAGGUUUGAGUCUUAUCAUUGCAAGAUAUAACUUCUCUUCCCCUCUCCCCUCCGAAAGAUUGGCUAUAAAAAAAAGAAGAAAAACCUCCAAACCCCAGCCCGAGCCUAAUCCCAAUCCACCAAUGCAGCCACUGAUCCCCACCACCACCCUUAGUUCCUCUCUUGUCGUCACCACUACUCCACCAUCCUCCCCUAACCACUCCCACCCUUUUCCAGCCACUGCCGACCACUCUUCCAUAUCUGCCACUGUUCACCCCUCCCCAACCCAUCUCUGCCACCUCUGCCCAUUCCGGGCCCGUUGGUGAUUCAAUCCACCAUACGGUCCACCAUAAACUUCCCUUCACAAUCUAAGUACAAGGAUACGGAUACCCAACACAGCCAAGAAAACAAUAGGAACACAUGGAUAUGUAAUUUUUCUAAAAAUUGGGACAUGGACACGCCCUUGUACUAAGAACGUUCAAAUUCUUAAUUAAUUUUUAUAGUGUCGAAUCUCUUUCUCCAAGAAAACGGGGACAAUGUGACGGCUGCCAAUCACUAUAUACACAUUGUAUAACUCAAGGACCUCACAGGUUGGUGGUGUAAAAAUUGGAUCUAUCUAAUGGCAAUUUCCUAAAGACAAUAAAUAUGGGAAUCCCUCUCCCCAUCUGCUCUCUCCUCUUUCUUUAUCUAUCCAUCACCCUCUCUCUUUCUAUACAUACUGCAUUUAGAAGUGUAUAUGUAUAAGCAUAGAUACAUAUAUAUUCACUCUUGCUAAACUGAAAAACUUCCUGGCCUGCUAGCUAUUUGGACAAUUUCCUAUUCUUACUGAAUCUAACGGAUCCCUUACUUGAAGAUUAAAAGCUAGGUACGUUUGUUUGAAGUAAUAAUCAUAGUGCGACACACAUUUGCUUCUUGUAAUCAUAUCAAAUCUUUUUUAGUUUAAAUGAAUUCCCAGCUAGAAGCUAAGGCCACCAAAUUAUUCAAACAGGAAACUUGAUUUACUCAUAACACUACAGGAAAUCAACUAAAAAAAAACUAAUUAACCAGAUUCUCAUAUGGGUUCGUAUGCUAAUAAACACUUUUGGGCUGUGCAUACAUUUAAUGCACAAAUUUAAACAACGUAAACUAUAUAUGACUUCGAUUCAGUUUAUGGAUAAGGAAGCGAUUAAUUUGUUACCAGGCAAAAUCGCUGACAUCAAUUCAAACGGCGAUAAGGUCAGGCACUACACAGCAUAAUUGAUUUUCCUUCAAAACUUGUGCUAUGCUAGUGACAAUAUUGCUAAAGGCUUGGAUAGUCAUUGUAGAACUCACCCUUUCAAGUUGAACUUCAUGUCAAACUUUAAUUGCAAACUUUUAGGUAGACAUUCUUGAAUGAAACUAGAUUCAUGAAGUGAACCGUUAAUAGAAAUUUUUGUAACCGUUAAUACAAAAUGAGAAUUGGCCGCCAGUAUUUGACAAAACAGGAUUCUCCAAGUUUUGUAGAAUUUCAAGUCCUUUUGCUCUCUGUACCGAAAACAAAUGCGCUACACCUCAUCUCUCCACUGUCAAUUUCACAUUUUUGAUCUUUGGUCCCUUGUUCCAUCGUUCACUUGAUUUUUGUCUACCAGUAUUUUUGUCAAUUGUAUACCAGAGAAUGUAAGCUCACUCACACAUUUUAAUCCCAACUCUUUGUUAUUUUAUCUUAUGGCUCUAUCUAUAAUUAAAAAUUUAAUUUCAAAAAUAAUCCCUAAUUGUGUCCCUUAAUGAGUAUAAUUGAACCUAAAAUAGAUAACAACUAUAAAUUUUAAAUCUUUCCAAAACGAAAUUAUGGGAAUGGGUAUUCAAUUUUUCCACAAUGUUAAAUAACAAAAUAUACUCUUGUUUGCGAAAAUAAUUCUUAGCCUUGUGGUAAGUAGUUAGCGUUAGUCUCCAAGUCUCCAAGUCAGGCUCUAUAACUAUUCUCUACCAUUAUUUUCAAUUUUUCUAUUUUCUUUAAUUUCAUGAUCCACUUUGGGUGGUGAAUAUUUUGCGGACUUUAAAUACUACAAUUUUUUUAGUUCCACAAUUCAUUCAGGUUAUCUUAUAAAAAAAUAAAAUUUAAUCUGUCAAUGCCCUUUAAUUUCAAAACCCAAAAAGCUAUUUUUAUAGGUUGAUACUUAGAAGUUAUUUGAUUUUGAUUUCAUGAUCUUUGAUCAAACACAUGAGAAGAAGCAUUGAGUUGAAAUGUAUAGGGUGAAAAACCUUGAUUAUAAACUUAAUUAGUUAUUUACUUUAUUUACAAUUAAAAAUAUGAUAAGGGCAACGUAUAAAUGAUAUUCCACUUUGGUUGUAGCUAAUUUAAUUGUUUCUAUUAUCACUGUUUUAGAUUUUUUUUAAAUUUUUUUGUCAACUAUUUUUUAUAACAAAAAUUGAAGUCAAACUUGCCUAGAUAUGGUCUUUUGACUUCAAUUUUUUUUUUAAAAAAAAUAGUUAAUGACAAAAAAUAAGAAAAUCUAAAACAAUGAUUGUAGAAAAAAAAUUAAAUGAGCGACAAUAUUUUUAAUUGUAACUUAAGUAAAUAACCAAUUAAACUUGUAAUUAAAAUUUUAAUCAUAUACUUUCAAUAGGUGAAGUAGUUAUUUAUUCAAUGUUUUUUAUGAAGUGUUUGAAGGAACAUGGGUGAAAUUAAAAUCAAUAAUUUUGAACUUUUAUCAAUAAAAAUAGUUUUUUUGGUCUUGGUAUUAAAGGUAUAGCCUGAUAUGAUUUUUCUUUUUGAUGGGAUAACCGGAGUGUAGUGAUGAGGAAUUAAUAAAACUAUUUUAAUUAUUAAAGCCUAAAAAAAUUAUAAUCAACCUUUAUCAAUAAAAAUAGUUUUUUUUGGCUUGGUAUUAAAGGUAGUCUGAUAUGAUUUUUUUUUCUUUUUUAGAUGGGAUAGCCGGAGUGGAUUGGCGAAUUAAUAAAAUGUAGUAAUUGAAGCCUAAAUUUUUUUUAUGUAAAAUGGUAGGAGGGCCCCACAGUAUUAUAAAAUUACAAGAAUUAAAAAAAAUUCCAAAGAAUAGGCAAAGAACAACUCAAAAUGGGUGUUUGAUGCAACUUGUUAGCAACUUUUAUUUUUUCCAUUUGAAAAUUGUACUACAAUGUUUGUCACAGUAAAACUAACUACGUAGCACAAGAUCAAGUGUUAAAUUAAGG